UGAUGGCGUAUAUUAAAUUUGUUGCAGUUAAAAAGCUCGUAGUUGAAGUGACGGUGGGCGAUUGGCAUCCCUUCUAGGGAAACCUUUUGCCUGCUCGGCAUCUUCCGAUGCCUCGUUACUUUGAGAAAAAUAGAGUGUUUCAAGCGGGCAUAUGCUUACAUAGUGUACCGUGGAAUAACAAUAAGGCUGCUUUUCCGCUUGUUGAUUCUCGGGAUUGCGGUGCGUGUUGAGAGGAACAGUCGGGGGUAUUCGUAUUGAACAGUCAGAGGUGAAAUUCUUAGAUUUGUUCAGGACGAACUAGUGCGAAGGCAUCUACCAAGGAUGUUUCCAUUAAC
rnacentral:rRNA from 1 species